UUUUUGAUAUAUUUCAACUUUAAGCUAUCAUUAGAUUAAAAUUUAUACUAGCUGAGGUUAAAAGAAAUUCUUUUAAUGAUUUGCAUAGUUUAAAUCUUGUCAUGUAUCAUUGUGGAUUGAAAACAAUCAUUUUGUGAAAACGUGAUUUGUUCUAGAUGGCAUCACGAAAAUAAAAUUUACUGCAAACUUCUUGUGUAAUUUCUCUAUAAAGGAACACUAAAAAGACGCCGGAUAGCUAUACCGGAAAAAAGAUGGCGAUCAACGGAAGCAAAUAUGUCUCAGAUUGUGUAUAUCUAUGGAGCAACCGAGGGAGCAACUCCAUGAACCAAACGUCCUCACGAAGCGGAAAAGAUCAUAGAUGCAUUUUAUGAUAUGUGCAGGCAAUAUUGUUCUGCAACAGUUUUUGAUAUCCCAAUCAUCCUACUGAGUUGGUUUUUAGACGAAAGAAUCCUAGAACGAUGUUGAGUAGUGCAAUUUCCGAAAGACGACCACUGAUGGAGUUAGAAGUACCCGGAGAAACCUACGGCGAUUGCUGCUUUGACUCCUGUGCUGGCUUGUGUACAAUUUUGAGGUGCGGUGCCAAAUGGUUUCCUAGCAGAGUUUACCCCUGCAGGAUAUUUACGGCUCAACUGGCCGAGCAACUGGCAAGCUUUAAAUCAUUCAUUUACAAUUGUAAUCAAAUUUAAAAAUAAAGUAUUUGUUUGGUGUGUUUGUAUGUGUUUUCGUUACGUCUUCAUUUACUUAACUAAAAAAAAAUGCUACAGCAGAAUCCACCUAAAGCAUGUGGAUUGCUUGAAAGUAUACUGUGUCAACAUAAUUCAAAGUUAUACUAAGCUCGUUUAUAUUGUAUUUAUACUAACACGGGGUCAACC